rnacentral:rRNA from 1 species
GACGAACGCUGGCGGCGUGCUUAACACAUGCAAGUUGAACGAUGAAGCUGGAGCUUGCUCUGGCGGAUUAGUGGCGAACGGGUGAGUAACACGUGAGAAAUCUGCCCUUGACUCUGGGAUAACUGCGGGAAACUGUAGCUAAUACCGGAUACUUUCCCUGGUGGGCAUCCACUGGGGAAGAAAGAAUUUCGGUCAAGGAUGAUCUCGCGGCCUAUCAGCUUGUUGGUGAGGUAAUGGCUCACCAAGGCGACGACGGGUAGCCGGCCUGAGAGGGUGACCGGCCACACUGGGACUGAGACACGGCCCAGACUCCUACGGGAGGCAGCAGUGGGGAAUAUUGCACAAUGGGCGCAAGCCUGAUGCAGCAACGCUGCGUGAGGGAUGAAGGCCUUCGGGUUGUAAACCUCUUUUAGCAGGGAAGAAGCGAAAGUGACGGUACCUGCAGAAAAAGCACCGGCUAACUACGUGCCAGCCGCCGCAGUAA